rnacentral:rRNA from 1 species
GACGUAGGAGGCGAGCGUUGUCCGGAUUCAUUGGGCGUAAAGAGCACGCAGGCGGUUUGGCAAGUCGGAUGUGAAAACCCGAAGCUCAACUUCGGGCCUGCAUCCGAAACUGCCCGACUAGAGGUAGGUGGGGGAGAUCGGAAUUCCUGGUGUAGCGGUGAAAUGCGCAGAUAUCAGGAGGAACACCGGUGGCGAAGGCGGAUCUCUGGGCCUUACCUGACGCUCAGGUGCGAAAGCUAGGGGAGCGAACAGG